ACUGCACAGAGAUGGAACCUGAUGAAACGGCCCCAUUUGAGUGCCUGCUGUAUCGUGUUGGCUCUGCUUCCUGCAGCUGUGCUCCGAGAUGAGCCUUUCAGUCAUCGCUCCCUAAUAGCCCCAUCUCCCUGAAUUUGGGAGGACGCACAUUCCUCUCCUUGCUCACAUGCCCCACUUCAAGCCAUCUGCACACUCUACAGGGAACUUGCCUCCUGACGUCCUGAUGUGCAACGCCAUCCAAAUCCUCUGCUGGAAUCUCACUAUUCACACCACUGAUGCCCCUGGAGCAUGAAACAGAAAGAAUGACAUCCUGUGCUCAGCAGGUCUCUUCCCCCUCAUUCCAGACAUCAGGGUAGGAGUAUUACGGAGGUCCCACAGAAGAACUUGGCGACUGUCACCUGCCUUGCAAAUCGAACAUAUGUUAGAAAGAUGCACGCUCACAAGACCCACAGCCGGCUUGGUCAGCCACAUCUGUCAUUCCUCCCACCAGGAAAGCCGAAUUCCUCCCAGAGCUGUAAACCUCACAUCUCACUGAAUCUCUGGACACCAUCACCCAGGGGCUGCGAGAUCAGGAGGGCCCGCUGGUAACGACUUAACCAGCUGAGGUUCCAGUGCACUUCAGGGGUUUACAGGACUGUGCCUUGAAGGAAGUGUUCCCUGCUGCUUUGGGAAAACGGGCAAUUGUAAAUCAGGUAACAAUGAGGCCCUGACUUAUUUAUCCUUCUACAGGUUUUACAUACUAGGGCCAGCAAGGGACACAUUUGCCCAGCUCAUGGCUGAUUUGCAGAGUCAGCACUUUAGGUAAGACCAGCCCGCCUUGCUCAGCGGGACGGCAUGUGCUGGGGGCUUCGAGGAACCAACGCACCCUGUGGUGCUGAGGCCUUAUCUUGUCUCUUGGUCUGGACCAAAUGCCAUCUUUCAGAGACAUGAGAUACAGAAUGGGAAGUCACCAAACAGUGGGAAAUUCUUCCUCUGGUGCUAAAAGUGCUUUUUCCCCUCUCUCCCUGGCCUCCUCCACGUUCCUCCUCCUUUAGAGGGAACAUUUGCCUGGAGAACAGCUGCACCCUUGUGAUCCCAGAAAUGAUAGGGAACCAUUAAAACAGGAACAGCGGCGAUAAAUGAAGCUUUCAGGCCUUUGGCUUGUACUAAUUAGCAAUCAAGGCCAAAGCUGAACCCAAUGUCCCAUAAUAAAUUAUGACACAUCCUUACAAGAGAAUAUUAGGCAGCUAUUAAAAAUAAUGUUUUCAAAGAAUUUUUAUGGCACUGAAAACUGCUUAUGAUAUGAAGUGAAAUGAAGGAAAGAUGUAAAGCCCACAUAUAGAACACGGAAUACCAAUGACCUGAAAGACUACCUGAAAAUACUGUAAAACGGGAACUGCGAUUAUCUCUGCAGGAAAAAUUAUGUGUGCAUUUUAUGUUUCUCUCUUAUUAUAUUUUAAACAUUUCCUAUAUUAGGCAUUCGUGGCUUUUGUUUAUUAAAAAUAAAAUAAAAU
rnacentral:lncRNA from 1 species